rnacentral:rRNA from 1 species
AAUGGCAGGUCAGCAUACUGCCGUGAAUACGUUCCCGGGCCCUUGUACACACCGCCCGUCACACCAUGAGAGUUGGAAAUACCCGAAGCCUGUGAGCUAACCGUAAGGAGGCAGCAGUCGAAGGUAGAGUCAAUGAUUGGGGUGAAGUCGUAACAAGGUAAC